rnacentral:rRNA from 1 species
UACGAAGGCGGCUAGGGUUAUUCGGAAUUACUGGGCGUAAAGCGCAUGUAGGCGGAUCUAUAAGUCAGAGGUGAAAUCCCCGGGCUCAACCCUGGAAUUGCCUUUGAGACUGUAGAUCUGGAGUCUGGGAGAGGUGAGUGGAAUUCCGAGUGUAGAGGUGAAAUUCGUAGAUAUUCGGAGGAACUCCAGUGGCUAAGGAGGCUCACUGGCUCGAGGUUGACGGUGAGAUGCGAAAGCGUUGGGAGCAAACAGG